rnacentral:rRNA from 1 species
UGGGGAAUAUUGCACAAUGGGCGGAAGCCUGAUGCAGCGACGCCGCGUGAGGGAUGACGGCCUUCGGGUUGUAAACCUCUUUCAGUAGGGACGAAGCGUAAGUGACGGUACCUGCAGAAGAAGCACCGGCUAACUACGUGCCAGCAGCCGCGGUAAUACGUAGGGUGCGAGCGUUGUCCGGAAUUACUGGGCGUAAAGAGCUCGUAGGCGGUUUGUCACGUCGUCUGUGAAAUCCUAGGGCUUAACCCUGGACGUGCAGGCGAUACGGGCUGACUUGAGUACUACAGGGGAGACUGGAAUUUCUGGUGUAGCGGUGAAAUGCUUAGAUAUCAUGAAGAACUCCGAUUGCGAAGGCAGCUUACGGGAGUGUUACUGACGCUUAAGCUCGAAGGUGCGGGUAUCGAACAGG